UACGAAGGGGGCAAGCGUUGUUCGGAUUUACUGGGCGUAAAGGGCGCGUAGGCGGAAUUGUAAGUCAGAGGUGAAAGCCCUGGGCUCAACCCGGGAAUGGCCUUUGAGACUGCAAGUCUUGAGUGCGAGAGAGGGUGGCGGAAUACCCAGUGUAGAGGUGAAAUUCGUAGAUAUUGGGUAGAACACCGGUGGCGAAGGCGGCCACCUGGCUCGCAACUGACGGCUGAGGCGCGAAAGCGUGGGGAGCAAACAGG
rnacentral:rRNA from 1 species